rnacentral:rRNA from 1 species
UACGUAGGGGCAAGCGUUGUCCGGAAUUACUGGGCGUAAAGCGCACGCAGGCGGAAUUGUAAGUCCGUUGUAAAAUUCAGAGGCUCAACCUCUGUCUGUCGGCGGAUACUGCAAAUCUAGAGUAUGUGAGAGGGAAGUGGAAUUCCUGGUGUAGCGGUAAAAUGCGUAGAUAUCAGGAGGAACUCCGGUGGCGAAGGCGACUUCCUGGCACAAGACUGACGCUCAUGUGCGAAAGCUAGGGUAGCGAACGGGAUUAGAUACU